GCCUAGUUGAACCAGGCGACCAUCUUGAGAGAAGCUGGUCUUCUCCAGUGGGGAAUUCGCGUUUGCGUUUGAGGCUUUGACGCCGUCCAAGAGGGUGAACCAUGCCUAAGGCCAACAGGAUAGAGCCUGGGAGCCAGAGGAGAAGAAAUCUGAAAAGGCAUAGUCCAUGGAUCCUAUGCGGCUGCAACCGACAAUGCUAUAUCACCCUCAUUACUGGUUGCUACAACUGCGAGUGGCAAAUCAAGCAGGAGAAAAAGUCUAGACCUGGACCCUGCUGCUGCUCUUGGAGAGAGCAGUUAUUUUAUCCAUUUCUAAUUUUUUCAUUUUUAUUGUCUGUGGUUUUGCUGUUCGUGUGGAUAGAAACUUCAAAUGAAUACUUUGGCUUUGACUGGGUCAUUUCUCUAGGUACAGGAUACUGGUUCUUUUGGUCCAUUGUUUUGCUGAGUUUAUUUGGGAUCCUGGCUGCCUACUGUACAUUGCUGGUGGUACUUGCAUUUUUGUUGGUUUGGGAAGGGUAUGAACCAAACCUGCACUGGUGUCAUAAGAUCCUGGUUCUGCUAGUGAUUCUGAUAUGCUCAUUUUUUUUGUGGAUUUUAUGCAAGUACUGGCAAGAAAGGUGGCUGACAGCUGGGCUGUCACUGCAGAUCUUUGCUCCCUACGUGCACCUGAGCAGCAUAACUGUGAUGGUUAUCCUUUCCUGGCCUGUAGGCUUCUACUUGAUCCAUUUGGAAGAAGAAGCUAGAAUCAGAAGAUACAAGAUGACAUAUUAUGACAGAGGAAGAACCAAGAGAUGUAAUAUACUCACAAAGUUGAGAGCUCUACAGGUGGCUAUUGGAUUGCCUUUUUUCCUUAUCCUUUUAUGUCUCUAUGUUAUGCCACUGGGGAUUCAUUCUCCCUGCAUUCAGGAAGAGGGUAAAUUGGGACCCAAACCAGACUUCUUUGGACAUAGAGGUGCACCCAUGCUGGGGCCUGAGAAUACCAUGAUGUCCUUUGAGAAAGCUGUUGAACAAGGGGCCUAUGGGCUGGAGAGUGAUGUACAGUUAAGUUAUGAUCAGGUACCUUUUCUCAUGCAUGACAAUCACCUGAGAAGAACAACCAAUAUUAGGGAGGUCCUGCCAAAUGCCUCCUUCACACAUGCUAGCUUCUUCCAGUGGAGUUUCCUGUCGACUCUGAAUGCAGGCAAAUGGUUUGUACAAUCACGGUUGAAACCAUUUUACAAAAUGAAACCCCUAUCAAAGGCUGAUCGUGAAAAAGCAGAAAAUCAGACGAUUCCAAAACUAACCGAUUUAUUGGAACUUGCACAGAAGGAAAAAAAAUUUGUGAUAUUUGAUCUUAAUGCCCCUCCACAAAAACAUCCUCUCAGAAACACAUAUAUUCGUCAUGUAGUAAGCGCGAUCCUUGACUCUAAAAUUGAGCAACAUCUGAUUCUGUGGUUGCCAAAUUUCGAUAGGCAAUAUGUUAGAAACGCAGCUCCUGGUUUUCAGCAAGUGGGCCGGUUAUUUUCCAUUGAACAUCUUACAAAAGAAAAUAUCAGUAGAAUAAAUGUUGACUACAAGAGGUUGUUCCACAGUCGGUUGAGUGAUUAUAAAGCAGCUAACAUCAAAAUCAACUUAUACAUCGUCAAUGAACCUUGGCUCUACUCACUGGCCUGGUGCUGCAGGAUUCACUCAGUGACCACAGACAAUAUUCACAUCCUGAGUCAGCUAAAUCAGCCUUACUUCUUCAUGACACCAGGUUACUAUAUGUUCAUGUGGCUUCUCAUGGAUAGUGUUUCUGCGGUUCUCAUUAUUACCAUAUUUUAUUUUCAUUGGUGGAGAGAGCACAAAAAAGAAAUGUUCGAUAAUGCCAGCAUUCACACAGAUUCUCAGAGUAUUAGCCUCCAAAAGAGAGAACUUGGGAGUCAAGAAUCUUCAAAUUUAUCCAUAAAGCCUCCUUUCCGAGUUAUGGAAAGUCCUUGGACUCUAGCAGCCCUCUACCCAGCUUUAACCAAGAGCACAAAGAAACAUCCGCACUCUCGCCAUUUUUUAGUAGUACCCAAGAAGAAAGCCAGUGAACCAGAGCAAGUCAAGGAAGCCAUCAAACCACUGAUGCCUCAUGAGGAUGCUGUUAGACAACUGGCAUCCACCAAGAAGUCAUUUGAAACCAUGUGGGAUGCUGCCAGAGAGGAUACCUUCCAAACUGCAUUGCCUUCCCUGAAGAUGAAUAAACCAACAGUUUCUUCCGUAGAGAUCUCUCAAUCUGAAACAGAACCUGAAAAUACCCCCAAUAGUAAAUCCUCCCAAGAAUCCUCUCUUAUCAUGUUUUCUAUCACAUCCAGCAUAUUCUCCUCUGAGCUGCUUUCAAAGAAGAAUUAGCUACAUCUUGCCUUCCUCUUCCUUUUCAUUUCUGUGCCUAAGAGUGGUGAUAGUAGGGACUUGUCAAGAAAGGAGGCAGAAAGGCUGUUGAGGCUCUCAGGAGGACCACUAUCAUCUAGCACUUUCCAUAAAGAAUGCAUCUCAAGGAGGAUGGGCAAGGGAGUUGUGGCUUGGGAGCUGGAGCUGGUUGUUCUCUGAUGUUACAGGGUUUCUCAUCCUCACCCUUCAUAGUACUCCCUGGUAAAGGAAUGGCUUUGUGCACAUCAGCAUGGGAAUAAAGGCAACCUCUCAGGAACCUAGAAGAUAUUCAGGAACCAGGCCCUGACAUAGAAACUGAGUCAUGGAAAACCCCUGGACUGUGGCCACCUUCCAGCCAUCCUAAAUUCCCAAAACUUUCAGAUAUCCAAACUCCC